GACGAACGCUGGCGGCGCGCUUAACACAUGCAAGUCGAACGGAAAGGCCUGCUUUCCCUUGUGGAUUGCGGGUACUCGAGUGGCGAACGGGUGAGUAACACGUGAGUGAUCUGCCCCCAACUUGGGUAUAAGCCUGGGAAACUGGGUCUAAUUCCCGAUAGGACUGCAGGGUGGUGCCUGUGGUGGAAAACGAUUUUCUAGUGGUUGGGGAUGAGCUCGCGGCCUAUCAGCUUGUUGGUGGGGUAAUGGCCUACCAAGGCGGCGACGGGUAGCCGGCCUGGGAGGGUGGACGGCCACAUUGGGACUGGGAUACAGCCCAGACUCCUACGGGAGGCAGCAGUGGGGAAUAUUGCACAAUGGGCGGAAGCCUGAUGCAGCGACGCCGCGUGGGGGAUGACGGCCUUCGGGUUGUAAACUCCUUUCGACCGCGAGGAAGCCACCUGGUUGGAAGGGUGGUGACGGUAGUGGUAGAAGAAGCACCGGCUAACUACGUG
rnacentral:rRNA from 1 species